UUGCGGUUAAAAAGCUCGUAGUUGGAUCUCGGCGGGCAGGGGGUGGUUCGCUCUUCAGCGCUACUGCCCCGCUUUGCCCGUGUGAUUGGCGGAGGUUUCGGGGUGCUCUUCGUUGAGUGACUCGGAGCGCCGUCAGGUUUACUUUGAAAAAUUUAGAGUGCUCAAAGCAGGCUUUUCACGCUUGAAUAUUCGUGCAUGGAAUAAUGGAAUAGGAACUCGUUUCUAUUUUGUUGGUUUUCGGAAAUCGAGUUAAUGAUUAACAGGGACAAUUGGGGGCAUUAGUAUUCAGACGACAGAGGUGAAAUUCUUGGACCGUCUGAAGACUGACUACUGCGAAAGCAUUUGCCAAGAGUGUUUUCAUUAAUCAAGAACGAAAGUUAGAGGUUCGAAGGCGAUCAGAUACCGCCCUAGUUCUAACCAUAAACGAUGCCAGCUAGCGAUCUGCCGAGUUUUUUUUGUAGGCUCCGCAGGAAGCUUUCGGGAAACCAAAGCUUUUUGGGUUCCGGGGGAAGUAUGGUUGCAAAGCUGAAACUUAAAGGAAUUGACCGAAGGGCACCACCAGGAGUGGAGCCUGCGGCU
rnacentral:rRNA from 1 species